UGGCUCAGAACGAACGCUGGCGGCAGGCCUAAUACAUGCAAGUCGAGCGGGCGUAGCAAUACGUCAGCGGCAGACGGGUGAGUAACGCGUGGGAACGUGCCCUUUGGUUCGGAACAACACAGGGAAACUUGGGCUAAUACCGGAUACGCCCUUACGGGGAAAGAUUUAUUGCCGAAGGAACGGCCCGCGUCCGAUUAGCUAGUUGGUGAGGUAAUGGCUCACCAAGGCGACGAUCGGUAGCUGGUCUGAGAGGAUGACCAGCCUCACUGGGACUGAGACACGGCCCAGAGUCCUACGGGAGGCAGCAGUGGG
rnacentral:rRNA from 2 species